GCCAGGGAGCCCCGGCCGGGACCGUAAUCGUGGGAAAGGUGUGGGGGGUUAGAAGGGGAGCGCUUGGGUCGAGUGUGCCCGAGACCAGGCGCGUACACGUGUCCGUGUGUGCAUGUGUGUGCGUGCGUGCGUGCGUGUGUGUGUGUGUGUGUGCACGCAAGGAGCCGGGGGACCAGCGGAGCCUACCAUGCGCUUCCCCUGGUGCGGAUCGCGGGAGAGCCCAAUCACAGGGCCAGCUGGACCGCGCUGUGAUCGUUUAUAAUCCUUGACUCCUCCGCUCCGCCACUUGUCAAGAUGACAGGAAAACCCUAUGUACAAAUGGUCCAUGUUGAGGCAAGAGUCAAAGUGUGGAGUUCCUGGCUUGCUUGCACUCAGAUUCUGUUCUGAUCUCUGCUUAGAAAAGAUUUGGUUUGUAAUUCCCUGAAAUGGAAGGUGGUUAAUGAAGAAGUUCCUAAAUGGUCAACAUGCUGAAAAUAAGUGUUGGAGAGGCUUAACUGAGGGGAGAACACCAAUCCUGAAGAUGGGUGACACUAUUGCAAGGACUGGAGUCCUGAACCAAACAAAAAGCAGAAGGUGCACAGGGCACCAGCAUUCAUCUAUCUGCAUCUCUUGACUCCAGACGCAGUGUGACCGGCUGCCUCACAGUCCUGCAACCAUGUCUCCUGUUCUUAGAUAGACUGCACACUUAGACUGUGGCCAAACCAAACCCACUUUAAGUUUCUUUUGUUAGGUAUUUUGUCACAAUAAUGAAAAAAGUAACUAAUACAGCCUUCUUUCUUCUCUGUAAGUAGUCUUCUCUCACUUUGGGAAAAUAUACACCAUGACCUCCAGUGGAUGCUUGAAAACACACAUUCUUGUGGUAAAAUGAAGCUUAUAGAUGAGUCACAGUAACAACAAUAAUAUCUAAUAAUAAAAAUAAUUAAUAUACUACAAUAAAUUACUCAAAAAUUAAAUUAUAACUUUCUAUUUAAUAUUUUCAUGUUCAAUUGAUGAUGAGUAACGGAGAAAAAACUACUGCAGUUUUCAAAAGCAUCUGUAGAAUGUUCUGGGAAUGGAAAGUCCUGAGAUAAGUGAGAACUGGCUAAAAGAGUUGGGCUCUGUUCCCACCUCCUCUAGAAACAAGAUAUCUAUAACAGUUUAGGUUGAUUGUCAACAUGAGAACAGCAUCUGGAAACUAGCCUCUGGGCAUGCCUAUGGGGGAUUAUCUUGAUUAGGGUAAUUGAGGUGGGAAGACCCAACUUAAAUGUGGGCAGCACUAUUCAAUACAGUAGGCUCCUGGUCUGUAUAAAAAAGAGAGAGCUGUCUAUUCAUGGCUCUCUGGUUCCUUACUGUGGACUUAAUGUGACCAGUUUCCUCAGGCUCCUGCUGCCAUGCCUUCCCCAUCAUCAUGGACUUCAAGUCCAGAUAGAAUAUUCUUGUUUAAGUUGUUUCAUCAGAUAUUUUAUUGUAGCAAUAAAUGUGAGUUCCAUGACAUUGAGGAAUGCAACCUAGAGUGGGCUAUGUUACCAGUCCUUCAUCUGAGUUGCACCUGGAAUAUGUGCAGAUGGGACUGUGUCCUGCCCAGGUAGGUUUGCUGAGCUUCAGGGAACAGUUCAUUCUGAGUUCUUCCUUCUAUUGUUCCUUGCUGCCUAAUUGUAAGUAACAAAUCCACUUUAUGGAAAUUGUGUUAAAAGUAUUCUGCCUCAUUCAACUCAAACAACUAGAAACCAAUGCAGACUACAAUCUUUUUUUUUUUAAUAUUUUUUGUUCAUUUUUUAUUGAU